UACGGAGGGUGCAAGCGUUAUCCGGAUUCACUGGGUUUAAAGGGUGCGUAGGAGGGCAGGUAAGUCAGUGGUGAAAUCUCCAAGCUUAACUUGGAAACUGCCGUUGAUACUAUCUGUCUUGAAUACCGUGGAGGUGAGCGGAAUAUGUCAUGUAGCGGUGAAAUGCUUAGAUAUGACAUAGAACACUAAUUGCGAAGGCAGCUCGCUACACGAAUAUUGACUCUGAGGCACGAAAGCGUGGGGAUCAAACAGG
rnacentral:rRNA from 1 species